GGUCGAGAAUUCCAAACACCACAGCACCGAAAACAUAGGGCUUCCUUGAAUCCCAGACUCUCAUCACACCAAGGCAAGGUUUGAUGUUAAGGAUCACUGUCAGAAGCUGCAAUUCUACAACAUUAUAGAACUGUAACCACAAAGUUUAGACCCCAUCCAUCCUAGAAUAAGAAUUGGUGCUCACCCAACCAUGCAGCCGAUAAGCCGCACAGAUCAUGAAUGGGUCCUCAAAUGUGAUGGCUGGCCCCCCCAGUUCCCUGUGUAAGUGACAUCAAUCAGCUCACUCACCUGCUACUGCUCUGUCUCUCUGGAACAUCAAGAAUGGAGAGUAGGGACUUCACGAAACAGACAAUAAGGGCAAAAGAUGACACAUGAUUAGUAUUUCACCUGCACAAACAGAGGGUCUCUGCCCUGGGAGACUCCAGACACAGUUGAAAGUGGAGUACCAAGCUCAAGCUGAAAACUGAGAAAAAAGGAUCUUCAGUCAAAGGAAGCAGACCCUCUGGGAGGCAACAGGAAUACCUUUGGUCUCACUACAUUAUAGGAAACUUACAGUAAAA